UGCAAGUCGUACGCGUUGGCCCAACUGAUUUGAAGUGCUUGCACGGAUCUGACGUUGGUUUACCAACGAGUGGCGGACGGGUGAGUAACACGUAGGUAACCUGCCCAGAAGCGGGGGACAACACUUGGAAACAGGUGCUAAUACCGCAUAACAAUUCAAAUCGCAUGAUUUGAAUUUGAAAGAUGGUUUCGGCUAUCACUUCUGGAUGGACCUGCGGCGCAUUAGCUUGUUGGUGGGGUAACGGCCUACCAAGGCAGUGAUGCGUAGCCGAGUUGAGAGACUGAUCGGCCACAAUGGGACUGAGACACGGCCCAUACUCCUACGGGAGGCAGCAGUAGGGAAUCUUCCACAAUGGGCGCAAGCCUGAUGGAGCAACACCGCGUGAGUGAAGAAGGUUUUCGGAUCGUAAAGCUCUGUUGUUGAAGAAGAACGUGCAUGAGAGUAACUGUUCAUGCAGUGACGGUAUUCAACCAGAAAGUCACGGCUAACUACGUGCCAGCAGCCGCGGUAAUACGUAGGUGGCAAGCGUUAUCCGGAUUUAUUGGGCGUAAAGAGAGUGCAGGCGGUUUCUUAAGUCUGAUGUGAAAGCCUUCGGCUCAACCGAAGAAGUGCAUCGGAAACUGGGGAACUUGAGUACAGAAGAGGGCAGUGGAACUCCAUGUGUAGCGGUGGAAUGCGUAGAUAUAUGGAAGAACACCAGUGGCGAAGGCGGCUGCCUGGUCUGUAACUGACGCUGAGACUCGAAAGCACGGGUAGCGAACAGGAUUAGAUACCCUGGUAGUCCAUGCCGUAAACGAUGAGUGCUAGGUGUUGGAGGGUUUCCGCCCUUCAGUGCCGGAGCUAACGCAUUAAGCACUCCGCCUGGGGAGUACGACCGCAAGGUUGAAACUCAAAGGAAUUGACGGGGGCCCGCACAAGCGGUGGAGCAUGUGGUUUAAUUCGAAGCUACGCGAAGAACCUUACCAGGUCUUGACAUCUUGCGCCAACCCUAGAGAUAGGGCGUUUCCUUCGGGAACGCAAUGACAGGUGGUGCAUGGUCGUCGUCAGCUCGUGUCGUGAGAUGUUGGGUUAAGUCCCGCAACGAGCGCAACCCUUGUUACUAGUUGCCAGCAUUAAGUUGAGCACUCUAGUGAGACUGCCGGUGACAAACCGGAGGAAGGUGGGGACGACGUCAGAUCAUCAUGCCCCUUAUGACCUGGGCUACACACGUGCUACAAUGGACGGUACAACGAGCAGCGAACUCGCGAGGGCAAGCAAAUCUCUUAAAACCGUUCUCAGUUCGGAUUGCAGGCUGCAACUCGCCUGCAUGAAGUCGGAAUCGCUAGUAAUCGCGGAUCAGCAUGCCGCGGUGAAUACGUUCCCGGGCCUUGUACACACCGCCCGUCACACCAUGAGAGUUUGUAACACCCAAAGUCGGUGGGGUAACCUUUGGAGCC
rnacentral:rRNA from 1 species